rfam:Mesocricetus auratus contig173050, whole genome shotgun sequence.
GCCGUACUCAAAAUGGAGGCCCUCUCCGGGCCUUGGGAAGGGGAAAGUGCUUCCAUUUUGUGUGCGGC